rnacentral:rRNA from 1 species
UAGAGUUUGAUCCUGGCUCAGGAUGAACGCUGGCUGUGUGCCUAAUACAUGCAUGUCGAGCGGAAGUAGCAAUACUUUAGCGGCGAAUGGGUGAGUAACACGUGCUUAAUCUACCUCUUAGAUUGGAAUACCUAAUGGAAACAUUGGUUAAUGCCGGAUACGCAUGGAGUCGCAUGACUCCGUUGUGAAAGGGGCCUUUAAAGCUCCACUAAGAGAUGAGGGUGCGGAACAUUAGCUAGUUGGUGAGGUAACGGCCCACCAAGGCUAUGAUGUUUAGCCGGGUCGAGAGACUGAACGGCCACAUUGGGACUGAGAUACGGCCCACACUCCUACGGGAGGCAGCAGUAGGGAAUAUUCCACAAUGAGCGAAAGCUUGAUGGAGCGACACAGCGUGCACGAUGAAGGUCUUAUGGAUUGUAAAGUGCUGUUGCAAGGGAAGAAAAAGUAGUUGAGGAAAUGCUUCUACAUUGACGGUACCUUGUUAGAAAGCGAUGGCUAACUAUGUGCCAGCAGCCGCGGUAAUACAUAGGUCGCAAGCGUUAUCCGGAAGUAUUGGGCGUAAAGCGUUCGUAGGCUGUUUAUUAAGUCUGGAGUCAAAUCCCAGGGCUCAACCCUGGCUCGCUUUGGAUACUGGUAAACUAGAGUUGGAUAGAGGUAAGCGGAAUUCCAUGUGAAGCGGUGAAAUGCGUAGAUAUAUGGAAGAACACCAAAGGCGAAGGCAGCUUACUGGGUUUAUACUGACGCUGAGGAACGAAAGCGUGGGGGAGCAAACAGGAUUAGAUACCCUGGUAGUCCACGCCGUAAACGAUGAUCAUUAGUCGGCAGAGAACUGUUGACGCAGCUAACGCAUUAAAUGAUCCGCCUGAGUAGUAUGCUCGCAAGAGUAAAACUUAAAGGAAUUGACGGGGACCCGCACAAGCGGUGGAGCAUGUGGUUUAAUUUGAAGAUACGCGGAGAACCUUACCCACUCUUGACAUCCUUCGCAAAGCUAUAGAGAUAUAGUGGAGGUUAACGGAGUGACAGAUGGUGCAUGGUUGUCGUCAGCUCGUGUCGUGAGAUGUUUGGUCAAGUCCUGCAACGAGCGCAACCCCUAUCUUUAGUUACUAACGAGUCAUGUCGAGGACUCUAGAGAUACUGCCUGGGUAACUGGGAGGAAGGUGGGGAUGACGUCAAAUCAUCAUGCCUCUUACGAGUGGGGCAACACACGUGCUACAAUGGUCGGUACAAAGAGAAGCAAUAUGGUGACAUGGAGCAAAUCUCAAAAAGCCGAUCUCAGUUCGGAUUGAAGUCUGCAAUUCGACUUCAUGAAGUCGGAAUCGCUAGUAAUCGCAGAUCAGCUAUGCUGCGGUGAAUACGUUCUCGGGUCUUGUACACACCGCCCGUCACACCAUGGGAGCUGGUAAUACCCAAAGUCGGUUUGC